CACGAUGAUAUAAGUCGAUUUUGGGUGGCCAGCCGCACUGUAUCACAUUAGAAUAUAUUAGCAGGGGAAUUACAUCUCCAUAUUCAAAACCAAAACAAGAGCAACCUGCACAAAGGUGACCUUGGCACACAGCAGAAAGCAUGUCUCAAAAUCAAGACAUGUUUUAUCAAGCCACCGAAGCAAAAUGGUGACUUUAUGUUCCUGGUAAACAGGAACUCGUAUUCUUAGCUCGUAUUUUAUCUUGUAUUUCUUGAUAUCGUAUGCUAUAACUUGUGCAAAACAAAAUAAAACACGUCCUUGACAUCGCCCAGGUUCCAUACAGACAAAAUAUAUAAAGUUAUUUUGGGAAAAUUUGGAGUUUUUAUCAAUUUAUUUACAUUUUGAGAAAUUACAUGAAAAUAAUCCAACUUGUGAAAUGCCACACAGCGUGUGACAAUUGUUUCUCCAGUCCUUGACUUAAUUCAGCCACAUGUCGCCGUGGCAACAUGGCCACGUUUGGAUAUGAAAACAACACCUUCCUCAUCAAGUUGCACUCAACCCAUCCGGGUGUCCAUUUGACAAUCCACCAAAUCUGGUCACUGCAGAAGAACAACCAUGAAAUGUUCAGGUUGAUCCUCCUCAUCGUGUGCGACCGGACAUUGUCUCUCCUCAUGAGG